rnacentral:rRNA from 1 species
GAUGAACGCUGGCGGCGUGCCUAAUACAUGCAAGUCGAGCGAACAGACGAGGAGCUUGCUCCUUUGACGUUAGCGGCGGACGGGUGAGUAACACGUGGGUAACCUACCUAUAAGACUGGGAUAACUUCGGGAAACCGGAGCUAAUACCGGAUAAUAUUUCGAACCGCAUGGUUCGAUAGUGAAAGAUGGCUUUGCUAUCACUUAUAGAUGGACCUGCGCCGUAUUAGCUAGUUGGUAAGGUAACGGCUUACCAAGGCAACGAUACGUAGCCGACCUGAGAGGGUGAUCGGCCACACUGGAACUGAGACACGGUCCAGACUCCUACGGGAGGCAGCAGUAGGGAAUCUACCGCAAUGGGCGAAAGCCUGACGGAGCAACGCCGCGUGAGUGAUGAAGGUCUUCGGAUCGUAAAACUCUGUUAUUAGGGAAGAACAAACGUGUAAGUAACUGUGCACGUCUUGACGGUACCUAAUCAGAAAGCCACGGCUAACUACGUG